rnacentral:lncRNA from 1 species
GGAAAAUGCAGUGUCUUGGUCUGUUCAGGCUGCUACAGGAAAAUAUCACAGACUGAGUGGCUCAUACAUAACAGACAUUUGUUUCUCACAGUUCUGGAGUCUAGGAAGCCCGGGAUCAAGGCAUUGGCAGAUCCGGUGUUUGAGCCAGGAGAUCUUCCUUAGAUCCUCAACUUCAGAACCUGGUGGAGUUACUAGAGGUAAAACCCCUGAAAGUGUGACAUUACCCUAAGACUGAAGACCAAGAAAUUUCUCAUUUUCAUGGUAGUCCACAUCUAGCCUUCAGUGAUUGCUCAAGUGUACCAUGU